AUACUUACCUGGCAGGGUAGAUACCGUGAUCAAGAAGGCGGUUCACCCAGGGCGUGGCUCAGCCAUUGCACUCCGGCUGUUCUGACCCCUGCGAAUUCCGAAAUGUGGGAAUCUCGACUAUAAUUUAGUUAUAUGUCUUUAUUGUCAUU
ensembl:snRNA U1 U1 spliceosomal RNA